rnacentral:rRNA from 1 species
GAUGAACGCUGGCGGCGUGCCUAAUACAUGCAAGUCGAGCGAACAGACGAGGAGCUUGCUCCUCUGACGUUAGCGGCGGACGGGUGAGUAACACGCGGAUAACCUACCUAUAAGACUGGGAUAACUUCGGGAAACCGGAGCUAAUACCGGAUAAUAUAUUGAACCGCAUGGUUCAAUAGUGAAAGACGGUUUUGCUGUCACUUAUAGAUGGAUCCGCGCCGCAUUAGCUAGUUGGUAAGGUAACGGCUUACCAAGGCAACGAUGCGUAGCCGACCUGAGAGGGUGAUCGGCCACACUGGAACUGAGACACGGUCCAGACUCCUACGGGAGGCAGCAGUAGGGAAUCUUCCGCAAUGGGCGAAAGCCUGACGGAGCAACGCCGCGUGAGUGAUGAAGGUCUUCGGAUCGUAAAACUCUGUUAUCAGGGAAGAACAAAUGUGUAAGUAACUAUGCACGUCUUGACGGUACCUAAUCAGAAAGCCACGGCUAACUACGUG